rnacentral:rRNA from 1 species
CUUAGAGUUUGAUCCUGGCUCAGGAUGAACGCUAGCUACAGGCUUAACACAUGCAAGUCGAGGGGAAACGACAUCGAAAGCUUGCUUUUGAUGGGCGUCGACCGGCGCACGGGUGAGUAACGCGUAUCCAACCUGCCCAUCACUUGGGGAUAACCUUGCGAAAGUAAGACUAAUACCCAAUGAUAUCUCUAGAAGACAUCUGAAAGAGAUUAAAGAUUUAUCGGUGAUGGAUGGGGAUGCGUCUGAUUAGCUUGUUGGCGGGGUAACGGCCCACCAAGGCGACGAUCAGUAGGGGUUCUGAGAGGAAGGUCCCCCACAUUGGAACUGAGACACGGUCCAACCUCCUACGGGAGGCAGCAGUGAGGAAUAUUGGUCAAUGGACGAGAGUCUGAACCAGCCAAGUAGCGUGCAGGAUGACGGCCCUAUGGGUUGUAAACUGCUUUUAUAAGGGAAUAAAGUGGGUCUCGUGAGACUUUUUGCAUGUACCUUAUGAAUAAGGACCGGCUAAUUCCGUGCCAGCAGCCGCGGUAAUACGGAAGGUCCGGGCGUUAUCCGGAUUUAUUGGGUUUAAAGGGAGCGUAGGCCGGAGAUUAAGCGUGUUGUGAAAUGUAGACGCUCAACGUCUGCACUGCAGCGCGAACUGGUUUCCUUGAGUACGCACAAAGUGGGCGGAAUUCGUGGUGUAGCGGUGAAAUGCUUAGAUAUCACGAAGAACUCCGAUUGCGAAGGCAGCUCACUGGAGCGCAACUGACGCUGAAGCUCGAAAGUGCGGGUAUCGAACAGGAUUAGAUACCCUGGUAGUCCGCACGGUAAACGAUGGAUGCCCGCUGUUGGUCUGAAUAGGUCAGCGGCCAAGCGAAAGCAUUAAGCAUCCCACCUGGGGAGUACGCCGGCAAC